rnacentral:rRNA from 1 species
UACAGAGGGGGGCCAGCGUUAUUCGGAAUUAUUGGGGCGUAAAGGGCGCGUAGGCGGCCAUGCGUGUCUUCCGUGAAAUCCCUCGGCUUAACUGAGGACGUGCGGAAGAAACUGCAAGGCUCGAGUCCGGGAGAGGGGGGUGGAAUUCCCAGUGUAGCGGUGAAAUGCGUAGAUAUUGGGAGGAACACCGGUGGCGAAGGCGGCCCCCUGGACCGGUACUGACGCUGAGGCGCGAAAAGCGGUGGGUAGCAAACGGG